GGCCUUGUGGCCUAAUGGAGAAGGCGUCUGACUUCUAAUCAGAAGAUUGCAAGUUCGACCCCUGCCUGGGUCA
rnacentral:tRNA from 1 species